AAAGGAAUUGACGGGGGCCCGCACAAGCGGUGGAGUAUGUGGUUUAAUUCGACGCAACGCGAAGAACCUUACCAAGACUUGACAUCGUCUGAUGACUCUAGAGAUAGAGAGUUCUCCUUCGGGAGACAGAUAGACAGGUGGUGCAUGGUUGUCGUCAGCUCGUGUCGUGAGAUGUUGGGUUAAGUCCCGCAACGAGCGCAACCCCUAUUCUUUGUUGCCAGCACGUAAUGGUGGGAACUCAAAGGAGACUGCCGCAGACAAUGCGGAGGAAGGCGGGGAUGACGUCAAAUCAUCAUGCCCCUUAUGUCUUGGGCUACACACGUACUACAAUGGACUUAAACAGAGGGCUGCGAAGUCGCGAGGCGGAGCAAAUCCCAUAAAUAAGUUCUCAGUUCGGAUCGCAGGCUGCAACUCGCCUGCGUGAAGUCGGAAUCGCUAGUAAUCGCAGGUCAGCAUACUGCGGUGAAUACGUUCCCGGGCCUUGUACACACCGCCCGU
rnacentral:rRNA from 1 species